rnacentral:lncRNA from 1 species
AUUCCUCUCUCCUCUCUCACUUCACUCGACGCGUUCUCCAAUAAACCGCACGACGACGUCUUCCGUCCGGCGACAUCCUCCACUCCGAUGAGGUCCUACAAUACGGCGAGCAGGUACGUAAUCUUCCUCAAAACUUGAUUGGAAGCCCUUUUUUUUUUUUGGUAUUUUAGGGCAUCUUGUUCUUGCUUUCACACUUUCUAAAAUCAGAAUCAAGAAGGGGUUUCGCCCAAUUUCAAGCUAAUGUUAUUUUUGCUUAAAAAUCUGUCAGAAGAAGUUGAUUACAGUACUUUUAGUAUUUUUUAUUAGGUAAUGUAGUAAUUUCAGUAUAUGCUUUAGUCAAAUAGUAAAUAAUGAAUAUUAUUAUUUUUUUAAGGCAUUUAUGAUUUUUUCCCUUUGUGUUAAGGUUUAUUGUUGAGAUGUGUUUCUGUUUGGGUUUGGGUUUGGGUUUGGGUUUGGGUUUGGGUUGUUAUUUGAGGUUUAAGCUUGCGCUUCAAUUAGGGGAUCGGGUUCACGAUUGGGACUGUGCUUUGGUUUGGUUGGGUUUGGGUUUAGAAUUGUCCUUGUGAAACUGAUAAUCUUGCAUCUUUUUAAUUUAUUGGCCGUCCGUCGGAUUUUGGGCUUAUUUAACGAUUGCUUAAGUAUUAUAAAGUUAUGGGAAUUCAUCGAGGAUAAAUUGAUUUAAUAUUGCCUUGCAUCGUUCUUAACUUGUAGAUGAUGAGUGUAGUGACUGAUGAAUUUUAUUGUGCAAAAUUGCCAAUUUUGUUGGUCUCUCCUUUAGGUUGCUGAGUAAUGGCUUAGAUAUGGUUAGAGCUUAAAAUAUAUCCAUAAGUUUGGAUUUGUUUCAGCCUUUAUUUAACCAUGACUUUGACUAUUGUUUAUUUAGAUUCACGAUAGAGAUACUUAUCUGGAGCUUUAAAGCUUAUGAGAGUAUGUGACUGUAUACAGACUCUGCAGAUUGGACGGAAAAGAUGAAGGGAAAAUUGGAAAACUAUUCAUCCAAGUGUCUAUUUUUUAGCUGAAAGCAUUGCAACUGCUCUCUCAUUGGGAAAGUUUAUUUGCAUGUUCUGCUCCUCUGAGUUCCUCUUCUGGAGCUUCUAGUGCUAUAAAAUUAUAAUAUGAAGGCAACUUAGAUUGAUUGAUUUGCCUUUUUCUUGUCAUUCUAGCUAAAAAAAAUAUGCAUGCCAAAAGGAAGCAUGUUUUCCUCAUCGUAAGGUUUACGUCAAUUAGUUAAGAAGUUUUCAUGGUGUAACUAUGGCCGAAUCCUUUCUAUGGGGGCAUGAUUUGGAUUGAAACUUAUUCUGCUGGGAUCUUUUGUUUGAUGACCAGAUUAUUGUUUUCAUCUCUUUCUGUCAUUUAAUCGUCGUGUCAGACAAUUUCGAAUAACUUUAGGCUAUUACUGGGAUAUGUUUUAGAGGGCUAUUAUGUUUAGGUUUGGUGAACAAGAAUUAUGGUAAUGUUCGCCUAUAAUGUUCACCAAUGCAGAUGUUCAAUAACAGUGGGUCAGUUAGUUUUGGCAGUGGGCUGGAGAAAUUUUGUCACCCCACGUUAUAACAAGUCAAACCAAUUUGGAGGCAUGAAAUAUUCAACUCGUACGAGAACUAAUAGUACUGUGUAGCACUAAGAAAGAAAAAUAAUCUAAAUUUCUGUUCAUUAUUCUUAUUCUAUUAUUCUAUUGCAUCUCAUCCAAUACAAUGUACAAGAAUUAUGAGCUGAUGAAUUUUAAUGCAUUACUGAAUCAGUUUUCUUUCCUUGUGAUGUCAACUUAUUUGAUUUUCUAUAUGGAAUUUGUGGUUAUAUUUUGGUUAAGUGGUUAAUAAUUAUUUAUUAUCUUCAUUAGAGAACAUAGGUGGUCAUAGUGGUAAGAAUAUGGAAACAAUGUCUUGGUCCGAUCAGAACGAACACGUUUUUAUCGGAAUACUUUACGAUAACGUGAAAGCAGGGAAGUUGCAUUGUUCUACGUUCACAAAAGACGAUUGGGGCAAGAUCAAUCAAGAGAUGAUUGUUGCCACAAAAUCAGAUUACGGGAUAGAGAGAUUGACGGGUAAGUGGAAUCGUUUACGUAAGGUACAUCGCUUGUUCUCUUACCGUUUAGGGCAUACGGGUGUUACAUGGGAUCCAAAUAUACCAACCAAGUGAAUGCUACAGAAGAAGUUUGGAAACAUUUUUUUACGGUAUGUGUCGUAAAAGAAAAUUUUUAGCAUUACUUAUUUAUGAUAUCAUUUUUUGUUUAACAUUUUGCUUCACUAUUAAUGUAAGCUUUUUUUUAUAUUGUAGAUAAACAAGAGCGACCAUAAGACAUUUAGGAGGGAAGGAUGUAAGCAUUACGAAUUGCUUGCAGAGAUUUUUAGCGGGACUACAGCUAUUGGAGGUCUAGGCCAUGCUUCUACUUAGCUUCCUCCAACUUCAGAGGCAGAAAGACGGCUAGAAGAUGAGUUUUUGAGCAGGGGAGUGCAUGUACAUGUGGAGAAUGAUGACGAUGAAGUUUCAAAUAUUCGUCGACGUGAUGAUGCUAUACCUAACAAACGUCGACGUAAGGAACCCAAAAUCGGUAAAGGAGAAAAACUUGAGGAAUUUAUGACUCAAUGGUCAUCUACUGUUAGUAUGAGGAAUGAGGAAACAGAACUAAGGAUUCUAUACAUGAAAGAAAAGCUUGCACACAUCCAAGAAAAAUCAUCUAAUCACGAGGGCGCUAGUGAAGUCACUAGUCCAUAUCCUUAUUCAAAUAUGGCGUGUUUGAACAUCUUAAACAACAUGGAAGGAGUGUGUAACGAGGUUUAUAUAAAAGCAAUAAAGGCUUUUAAGGAUCUAGAUUUCAGAAUGACAUUUAUAAUGAUGCCAGAAAUUAGGAGAGGACUUAUCUUGGAACUUCUUUGAUUUGCCUAAUUGGUCGGAUUGAGUAUUUUGAACUUAUAAUGUAUGAUUAUGUUCUUUUUAUAUAUUGACUAUGAACUUUGUAAUUUCAACAUUUACUAGUAGUUUUAUUUUUAUCAAUGUAGAUUUUGGUAUUUAUAUUUGUUGGAGUGUUUUUAUAAAUGAUUAUGGUAAGUACAUAGAUGAUAUGAGUGACAAUGAUUAAUUAUGUAUGAAUGAUUUUGAUAGGAU